UGAGUGACCUGCCGAUUUGUGGGGGAUAGCCGGGCCAACGCCCGGGUAAUACCGCAUACGCUCUUCUUGGGGCAUCUCUAGAAGAGGAAACCUCCGGGGCAAAUCGAGGGACUCGCGGCCUAUCAGCUAGUUGGCGAGGUAACGGCUCACCAAGGCUACGACGGGUAGCUGGUCUGAGAGGAUGGCCAGCCACAUUGGGACUGAGAUACGGCCCAGACUCCUACGGGAGCAGCAGG
rnacentral:rRNA from 1 species